CAGCAUGGGCUGCGCUUACUGUCUCUUACUCAUAAGAUCUGAAGAUUAUUCCUGAGGGAAAAACAGAACGUUAACAGAAUCCGGUAGUGGUUUUCAGAGUGAAAUCAUUGAAGAAUCUUGACGUCAUAGCAAGCUGACAGAGAGAGCAGAUUUCACGACUGCAUCACUUCUCUCUGGUGUACUGGUCUUCUCAAUAUUGUCAGGGAAUGGACGAAAACACAGGAAGAAAAUGGAUUUUUAAAUUGCCUCAAAAUCACAGUGCUUUGGGGGUUGCACCAGCUCAAGAAGUCAUCACAGGCCAUGCCAGCUCGGACUGGAAAACUGUCCCCGGUGCCAGCAGCAAGAGCUCUGCCGUGUAUUCCUGGUUGCUACCAGCUGCAGCUCAUGAAAAUAGAAUGCUCUUGCCCUGGAAUUCGGAGAAGGCAGCAGCAGGCAGGCACAGCUUCAGAGGCAUCAUGCAUUGAAGCACAGCUAUUCAAAGUCCAAGGGGAGGAUGGACUGGCUCCCAACCCAGCUGUAACACUCCUGUGCCCACAAGGUGGCUAAGAUGGUCCCUGUGUGGAAAAGGGUUCAGUUUUUCCUCAUCUCAUUCUUCCUUGCCAAAAUCCUCACUGCGUUUAAAGAAACCUCAAUGAAAGAUUGGCAGUACAAGGAGAAACUACAAGAGGUCAGAAAAGUAAAUGUUUCCAAAAAGUCCCGGACAUGCUUUAGCCAUUGGGGAAGUGCAAAUCCGCAUUGCCUUGCAGGGCUAGGAGAUGGCUCAAUUGGUUAAGGCUUGCCAUCCAGGCAUGGAGGCCCCUGUGAAAAAGCUAGGAUGGAGCUGAAUGUCAGCACUAGGGAAGCGGAGAUGGAGGGUCCCUGGGCCUUGCAGGCCAGCUAGCCUAGCAGAAUCAAUGAGUUCCAGGUCUGCUGAGACAGGCUGUCUCAAGAAGUAAGGUAAAAAAGCAUCCAUAGAAGACAUCCACCAUCAACCUCUGGCCUCCACAAGCAGCUGCACAGAAUGGUCCAGGGACUCUGCUGCCCUCUUUUGGCCCCCACAGGCACUGCAUGCAUAUGGUACGUGCAAGUAAAACACUAAAAGCAAACUUUUUUUUUUUUUAAGUUAUGGCGAUCAUCAUAUUGCAAACUAAGCAUAGCUGUGAAAAAUAAUUAUCACCUUUCUCUCAUAUGCACUCACAUAUUCAUAUAAUACACACAUACACACAUACAUACACAUACACAAACACACUCUAAGAUUCCAUCUCAUUCCAGGAAGAAUAGAUAUUAUCAGACAAGCAAAUGAGAGCAAAUCUUGGCAGGUAUAUAGAGUAAGCAGAGCCCUUACACACUACUGGUGGGACAGUAAACUGGUACAGCCUCUACUGAGCUCGGUAUAGAACGUCCUGGUGAAAUUAAAAUGGAAACUACCGAACGAUGCAGUUGUAUGACUUCGUACCUUCCCAAAGAACUCCAAGCCACCGAGAGGCUUGCUUGAACGCAUUUAUUGUUGCUCUGGUCACGAUAGUAAAGAUUUGGGAAUGGCUAGACACCCAUCCACAGAUGAACAGAUAAAGAAAAUGUGGUACAUAUACGCAACGGAACCUUAUUCAGAUGGAAAGAGGAGGGAAAUGGGAUCCACUGGGAAAUGGCUCCAGCUGGAGACCAUUGGAGCUGCCAAGAUGGAUCAGCAGUUAAGAGAACUUGUUGCUCUCGAAGAGGGUCUGGAUUUGGUUCACAGAACUUACAGCCACACAUGACUUCAAUUCCAGAUAGAUUCAACACCCUCUCUGGUACCAGGUAAGCAUAUAGCACGCAUACAUGCACACAGACACAUCGACACACAUAGACAUAAAAUAAAAAUAGUUAAGUCUUUUUUUAAGUAAUGGAGAUGAUUAUAUUAUGCAAAAUGUGCCAGAUUGGGAAAGAAAUUUUAUUUUGUUUUCUCUCAUGUGCAGAAUCUACAUUUAAAUGUAUGUAUGUACACAUAUAUAUGACAUGACAGUAGAUAGGAACCAAGAGAGGAAAAAGCAUGUUUAGGAAGAGAACAAGAGGGGGUAAUGGAAUGUAUAUGCAUGGGGAGUAAGGGGUCAGAAUGAGGAGAGGUCAGACAGGUAAGGGCAACAAAGGGAUGAAGGAGAACAAAAGUACAGAGAAAGAGAUGUGUUUCAUCACAAUGAAACAUUAUUUCUUUGUAUGUUAACCAAAUUUUAAUUAAAAAAAAAAAACAAAACAGAGAGAGAGGACACUAAAGGUGACCCGUUUGGUGAUUGGAAACCAGAUUUCACAAUAAACUCGGGCCUUGAACUCAUGACCCUGCAGCCUUAUCCUUCUGGUUGCUUUGACUGAAGGCAUGCACCACCUUUUACUUUUCUAUUUAAUCGUUUACUAUGGAAGACCCAACAAGGUCAUUAGGGUGAGGAGGUUGACU